AGAUUUUUGCAUUGGCAGUAUCAUAGCCAAUGAGAUCUAUCCGAGGUGAAAUUAUUGCUAAUUGAAAACAUUUCCCAAUAUCCCACCAUGAUUUCUUUAAAUAUAGUUGGCAUGGACAAUUUUUUUACAAUCUCUAUGGAGA
rnacentral:snRNA from 1 species